GACGAACGCUGGCGGCGUGCUUAACACAUGCAAGUCGAACGAAGAGCGAUGGAAGCUUGCUUCUAUCAGUCUUAGGGGCGAACGGGUGAGUAACGCGUAAUCAACCUGCCCUUCAGAGGGGGACAACAGUAGGAAACGACUGUUAAUACCGCAUACGAUCUAACCUCGGCAUCGGGGAGAGAGUAAAGGUGGCCUCGACAUGUCAGCUAUCACUGAAGGUGGGGAUUGCGUCUGAGUAGCUCGAUGGCUGGGUCACGUCCCACCUAGGCGAUGAUCAGUAGCCCGUCUGCGAGGAUGGACGGCCACCUUGGGACUGAGACACGGCCCAGACUCCUACGGGAGGCAGCCGUGGGGAAUCGUCCGCAAUGGACGAAAGUCUGACCGCGCAACGCCGCGUCAGUGAUGACGGCCUUCGGGUUGUAAAGCUCUGUUAAUCGGGACGAAAGGCCUUCUUGCGAAUAGUGAGAAGGAUUGACGGUACCGGAAGAGAAAGCCACGGCUAACUACGUG
rnacentral:rRNA from 1 species